UAACAAUACAACUAUACAGUUACUGUAAGUCAUGUAGUGCUAUGCUUUUAUUGUGCUAUCAAACCGUAGAACUCUCGUUGAAAGAUCUAUUUACGUCGAAGUUUACAGACACAUUAACAAUUUUAUUUAACGUCCAACACAUACAUUAACCAUGAACAUCAAGAAUAUUCUUGACUUGCCGGAUGAAAUCAAUAUCCUGAUAGUGAAACUGUUAGACAUUGAAUCCCAGAAGAAUGUUUAUUAUACAUGCACAUAUUUCAAACAUUUAAUAAGCAUGUAUGGAGUAGUAACCAGUUGCAAAUUAUGUAUGAAUAUUAUGGCCACAGCUAAAUCACUAAAACUGGAGUUUUUUAAGGACAUUGCCAUCCACUUACGAGAACUAAACUUAUCAGCUAUGAGUGAUUUAAAUAAAACUUCACUAGUACCUGCUAUUAAGAAAUUGAAGAAAUUGCAUGUUCUAGAUGUUUCUUAUACUAAGAUAAAUAUUAUAGAUUUGCUUGAUAUACACCAGGCUUGCCCAACUAUAAAAGAUGUUUCUAUCAACUUUGCAUUCGACAAAUGUGUUCAGAUAACGGUUCCUCAAAGCAUUAUAGAAAAAUGUCAAAAUAUGUUUAAAAAUUAUGAGAGAGUUCAUUUUGUAGGUAUAUUGACUAAUCUAUUUUGUUCAAAACUGCCCUUAAGAUUGCUGGAAAAAGCUAAAUUAAAUGAGUUACAGUACACUAUAACAGAUUGUGCAUUUUUAAGAUCUGUUUAUGAUAAUGAUAUAGAUAUGGAAGAAAUGAUACAAUUUAGGCUACUGAAAGUGUUUCUACUCAACUGGCAUAAAGAAAACCAGUACUAUGGACGCCUAAAUGAAUCUGCUGUUCUUUCUAUGUUAGACUUAAGUAAAUAUGAGCUCAUCAUGGUUUCCAGAUGCACUAUGGAUGUGUUGCAAGUUCUAGUUUCUCCUAGGUUUAAAGACUUCUUUCUUAAACAAUUUGGUGUACAAGCAGACAUAUUCACAACAUGGACUAACCAGGAACUUGGAGGCAAUGUUGCAUUCAUGAUUUGGAAUACAGCAACAACUGUGUUUGAUAGUUCAUUUUAUAAUCGGUUAUUGAAACAGUUAAAACAGUUCUUUCCAUAUCAUUUAAAAUCAGCUUCUGGUGAUACUCAAAUACCAGCCAAUAAUGAUUGGAUUUACACAAGACCAAAUCAAAAUGACUUUGCGAGAUCAGUGAGACAUAUUGAGCUUGAUUUUAAGAAAAGAAGAGUAGCUCCACAAGGCAUAAUUCUUGACUAUGACAAUGUUUGUAAAGACAAGAAAAAUAUUAAAUUAACUGUUUUGUUUGAAAAUACGAUUAGAUGUCUAGUGACACUAUCAAGUAGUAGUAACUAUUUAAAAAAGAUAACUCAUUUAAACUUGACUGGUCAUGUGGUUUAUAGCUCUGAUUUUUUCAAGAUAUUAUUUACAAAUUGUCAUAAUCUUGUUGCCAUCAGUUGCACAUCAUCGCCAAAUGCUACCCAAGCAUUAGGACGAUACAUUUGGCUGUGUAAAUAUAUUAAACAUUUACGGUUAGUCGCAACAACAAUUGAUUUUAAAUCAUUGUUUGUUUCUUUAAGUCGGUGCAAAUACAUAGAGAAUGUACAUUUGUACAAUAUGACAUCCAGUGGUGAUAUAGCUGAACCGAAAGAUAUGUUUGAAAGAUGUUGUUGUUUGUAUAAUUUGUCAAUAUGUAUGCCUAUGUCUGAUACUUUAAGAGCGAAAAAAUUGCAGACACUUAAUAAAAUUAAAUCUAUGUACUCGAGAGAUCAUUUAAACAUAGAAUUGUGUGUUGCACCUGAUCUCAAGGCUUAUGGAUAUGAUCCUUUCGUCGAAGUUUUCGAUUUGAAUCCAAUAAAAGUAGUAUAGUACA